AGACCUUGACAGUUGUAACCGAUAGACUGGGCUGGGGCAACGCUGAUGAAAGGCAAAUUCCUGAGAGAAAAAUCACCCAGAUUUUUCAGUGCCUUCUCUAGCUUUCUAGAAGUUGUUAUGAGUGGACCUGACUACCUAGAGAGAGUAAUACAGAAGCUCCGUGCCGAUCACAGCUACCUCAUUACCAUGUUCCUCCAAGAUGGCCGCCCCUGAGGAGAAUCAUCAACUGGGCUUUACGGAAGAGAGAAAUCCAAACGACCAUCAGCAACAAAUGAAAGACUGAAGUUGAAAGGAAAUCCAUAAUUUUUGAAUGCUGGCCGAGGUCUGUGACCUCUGACUGAAUGGUUUCCAAGCUCCGAAUUCCUAGGUGAUGUUUUCAUUUGUUCACACUUGCUGAAGAAGGGAAAGGCUCUCUGAUUUACGUGUAAGCAAAACAAUCUAAACAGUAGGAUAAAAUCAUGUUGGAAUGGAGUUCUGUGUGGAUGCUCCUUUGAACCAAAUCAGUUCCACAACUGACCCUGUCAGGGACAUAUAAAUUUAGCAUUUUGGUGUGGAUACAGAAGACGAGAUUAACACAGAUCAAGUAACAUGGAAAUAAAAAAGGAGACAAUGCUGGAUGAUACAGGGGCAGCCAACAAGAGGAGAAAACCCAAGCAUUGGCAAAUGCCUCAUUAUCCAAAGAACACUGAGGUGUGGAGCAAAACUGUGUUGAAUGAACUGUAGAUGGAAAUUCUCUCCUUCCCACCGAGGAGCCGCUGCAGGUUGCAGACUCCCAGAAUGCCACACUGAGAAGAGGAGGGCUAAAAUUCUAGAGCAGAAUCCCUGGGGCAGCCCCUGCUGAAGAAGGGUGCAUCUGUUGAGAAUCUCAUCACCGCCCCCACCCCGCCCAGCCUUCAAUUUAGAGGAAUUUCUAGUUCACGCAGAAUGAAGACAAGAUCACAUAAGUGAGGACGACGCCCCAUUUACAAGUGUGAUUUGGAAGACUGAAGUGGAAACCUUGGGAAGGUGGGCCUCAGAGUAUGUCAGCUGGGGUCAGACGGGAACAGGAGUCUGGCUCAACACACAUUUAUUGCACUCCUGUUUCAUGCCAAGAAAUGUACCAAAAUCUGGGACUGUGUAACACAGCAAAGGAAAAGACUCAUCUCCAGGAAGCCCCCUUGUCUAGGAAGAGAAAUUGAAUAUCAGCAUAAGGUGGUGAAAAGCUGUGAAGGAGAUGAGUGCCAGGAGUCCAUGGAGGAAGGAUUCUAGCCUGGACAGGUGAUUGUGGUGAAUAGUCAUGAGAAUCUGGGAACUGGCUCCUGCUCUGUCUAUCUUGGAGAUGCAUCUUUUGUGAGAAGCCAGGGCAAGAAUAGGGAGGCUUAGGCAAUGGGAAGUUUCUGAGUAGAUAAAGCAGAUGGCAGAGCAAAGGGACAGAGCCUGGCGAGAGGCUACUCCCUGUAGCAACCUGCCUAAGAGUGAGAGGAAAGCAAGGCAUGGCUAUGAGCACGUGUAGUCUCAGCUACUUGGGAAGCUGAGGCUGGGGGAUCACUUGAGCCCAGGAGUUCAAGACCAGCCUAGGCAACAUAGUGAGACCAUGUCUCUUUAAAAAAAAAAAAAAAAAGAAAAA
rnacentral:lncRNA from 1 species